rnacentral:rRNA from 1 species
AACGAACGCUGGCGGCAUGCCUAACACAUGCAAGUCGAACGAAGCCUUCGGGCUUAGUGGCGCACGGGUGCGUAACACGUGGGAAUCUGCCCUCUGGUACGGAAUAACUCAGGGAAACUUGAGCUAAUACCGUAUGAUGUCUUCGGACCAAAGAUUUAUCGCCAGAGGAUGAGCCCGCGUCGGAUUAGCUAGUUGGUGGG